UAAAUGACUCUCGGCAACGGAUAUCUCGGCUCUUGCAUCGAUGAAGAACGUAGCGAAAUGCGAUACUUGGUGUGAAUUGCAGAAUCCCGUGAACCAUCGAGUCUUUGAACGCAAGUUGCGCCUGAAGCCAUUAGGCUGAAGGCACGUCUGCCUGGGCGUAACGG
rnacentral:rRNA from 1 species